rnacentral:rRNA from 1 species
UGGGGAAUAUUGGACAAUGGGGGCAACCCUGAUCCAGCCAUGCCGCGUGGGUGAAGAAGGCCUUCGGGUUGUAAAGCCCUUUUGUUCGGGAAGAAAAGCUGCCGGUUAAUACCCGGCGGUGCUGACGGUACCGAAAGAAUAAGCACCGGCUAACUUCGUGCCAGCAGCCGCGGUAAUACGAAGGGUGCAAGCGUUACUCGGAAUUACUGGGCGUAAAGCGUGCGUAGGUGGUUCGUUAAGUCUGUCGUGAAAUCCCCGGGCUCAACCUGGGAAUGGCGAUGGAUACUGGCGGGCUAGAGUGCGGUAGAGGAGAGUGGAAUUCCCGGUGUAGCAGUGAAAUGCGUAGAGAUCGGGAGGAACAUCAGUUGCGAAGGCGGCUCUCUGGACCAGCACUGACACUGAGGCACGAAAGCGUGGGGAGCAAACAGG